rnacentral:antisense_RNA from 1 species
UAUGCCGUUUAUGUCAUGUAUGCCGUUCAUGUUAUGUAUGCCGUUCA